rfam:Ferroglobus placidus DSM 10642, complete genome.
CGGCGUGAUGACUGAUGGGUCUGCUGAGCGGUGAUGAUCCGCUGGAGUACUGACC